rnacentral:tRNA from 1 species
GCCCGGGUGGUGGAAUUGGUAGACACAGCAGACUUAAAAUCUGCCGACCUUUGCUGGUCGUGCCGGUUCAAUUCCGGCUCCGGGCACCA